UCCCGUUCGGCAUUUCCAAGUCCGUGGUAGAGCGCGUCACUAGUAUCUCAUUGCCGGCUUUAAAGACUAUGACGAGGUCAGUCGUUCAAGUCGGCUAGAGGGAA